rnacentral:rRNA from 1 species
GACGAACGCUGGCGGCGUGCUUAACACAUGCAAGUCGAACGGAAAGGCCCUGCUUUUGUGGGGUGCUCGAGUGGCGAACGGGUGAGUAACACGUGAGUAACCUGCCCUUGACUUUGGGAUAACUUCAGGAAACUGGGGCUAAUACCGGAUAGGAGCUCCUGCUGCAUGGUGGGGGUUGGAAAGUUUCGGCGGUUGGGGAUGGACUCGCGGCUUAUCAGCUUGUUGGUGGGGUAGUGGCUUACCAAGGCUUUGACGGGUAGCCGGCCUGAGAGGGUGACCGGCCACAUUGGGACUGAGAUACGGCCCAGACUCCUACGGGAGGCAGCAGUGGGGAAUAUUGCACAAUGGGCGGAAGCCUGAUGCAGCAACGCCGCGUGCGGGAUGACGGCCUUCGGGUUGUAAACCGCUUUCGCCUGUGACGAAGCGUGAGUGACGGUAAUGGGUAAAGAAGCACCGGCUACUACGUG